CUAAGAAGCAUAUUUUAUAUUCCGACACAAAAGAAUUAAAUGAGAUUUGCCACUCUGUCAAAGCUAUCCAUAUUAGACUCACUGAAGGAUUAAUACGGUACCGAAAUAGGAAAUUCAAACAAGUAUCUACUUGCUAUAAUACGUGAGGAACACAUUAUUAUAUACCGCCGUGGUUUAAUAUACGCGUUUACAAGCUCCAGCUGCUUCAAAGCAAAUUUACUUGAAUUUGCUUCAACGUGUACAAGAACCUUGAUCGACUUUAAUCCCAAAGUCAUGGAAUAUUUCUUGGUGACUCUUGUCUUGGCUCUGUUCUCGUUACAUCAUUCUGUUUGGGCUACAAGAUUUCUGCCAACAAUUGUCUGGGAUCAUUUAAAUCCAUU
rnacentral:lncRNA from 1 species